rnacentral:rRNA from 1 species
AUUGAACGCUGGCGGCAUGCUUUACACAUGCAAGUCGAACGGCAGCACGGGGGCAACCCUGGUGGCGAGUGGCGAACGGGUGAGUAAUGCAUCGGAACGUACCCAGUCGUGGGGGACAACGUAGCGAAAGUUACGCUAAUACCGCAUACGACCUGAGGGUGAAAGCAGGGGAUCGCAAGACCUUGCGCGAUUGGAGCGGCCGAUGUCAGAUUAGCUAGUUGGCGGGGUAACGGCUCACCAAGGCGACGAUCUGUAGCGGGUCUGAGAGGAUGAACCGCCACACUGGGACUGCGACACGGCCCAGACGCCUACGGGAGGCAGCAGUGGGGAAUUUGGGACAAUGGGGGCAACCCUGACCCGGCCAUGCCGCGUGCGUGAAGAAGGCCUUCGGGUUGUAAACCGCUUUCGGACAGAAAGAAAUCGCAUGGGCUAAUACCCUGUGUGGAUGACGGUACUGCAAGAAGAAGCACCGGCUAACUACGUGCCAGCCGCCGCAGUAACAC